rnacentral:tRNA from 1 species
GUGUCUGUACCCUGAUUGGUAAAGGCAGAACUCUAGUAAUGCCGAGGUCAUGGGUUUGACUCCCAUCAGACACA